rfam:Mus musculus chromosome 11, GRC primary reference assembly.
GGAGAGAUGGCUAAGUGGUUAAGAGCACUAGUUGUUCUUCCAGAGGUCCUGAGUUCAAUUCCCAGCACCUCCA